GAUGCACGCUGGCGGCGUGCCUAAUACAUGCAAGUCGAGCGAAGCGGGGACGGGUGAGUAACACGGGGAUAACCUCAUAUAAGACUGGGGUAACUUCGGGAAACAGGAGCUAAACCGGAUACUUAGAGAUGGAUCCGCGCUGCAUUAGCUAGUUGGUAAGGUAACGGCUUACCAAGGCAACUAUGCAUAGCCGACCGGAGAGGGUGAUAGGCCACAGUUGAACUGAGACACGGUCCAGACUCCUACGGGAGGCAGCAGUAGGGAAUCUUCCGCAAUGGGCGAAAGCCUGACGUAGCAACGCCGCGUGAGUGAUGAAGGUCUUCGGAUCGUAAAACUCUGUUAUUAGGGAAGCGGUACCUAAUCAGAAAGCCACGGCUAACUACGUGCCAGCCGCCGCGGUAAUUC
rnacentral:rRNA from 1 species